AGUGGCGGACGGGUGAGUAACGCGUAAGAAUCUAACUUCAGGACGGGGACAACAGUGGGAAACGACUGCUAAUACCCGAUGUGCCGCGAGGUGAAACCUAAUUGGCCUGAAGAAGAGCUUGCGUCUGAUUAGCUAGUUGGUGGGGUAGAGCCUACCAAGGCGACGAUCAGUAGCUGGUCUGAGAGGAUGAGCAGCCACACUGGGACUGAGACACGGCCCAGACUCCUACGGGAGGCAGCAGUGGGGAAUUUUCCGCAAUGGGCGAAAGCCUGACGGAGCAACGCCGCGUGAGGGAGGAAGGUCUUUGGAUUGUAAACCUCUUUUCUCAAGGAAGAAGUUCUGACGGUACUUGAGGAAUCAGCCUCGGCUAACUCCGUGCCAGCAGCCGCGGUAAUACGGGGGAGGCAAGCGUUAUCCGGAAUUAUUGGGCGUAAAGCGUCCGCAGGUGGUCAGCCAAGUCUGCCGUCAAAUCAGGUUGCUUAACGACCUAAAGGCGGUGGAAACUGGCAGACUAGAGAGCAGUAGGGGUAGCCGGAAUUCCCAGUGUAGCGGUGAAAUGCGUAGAGAUUGGGAAGAACAUCGGUGGCGAAAGCGUGCUACUGGGCUGUAUCUGACACUCAGGGACGAAAGCUAGGGGAGCGAAAGGGAUUAGAUACCCCUGUAGUCCUAGCCGUAAACGAUGGAUACUAGGCGUGGCUUG
rnacentral:rRNA from 1 species